rnacentral:rRNA from 1 species
AGGCAGCAGUGAGGAAUAUUGGUCAAUGGGCGCUAGCCUGAACCAGCCAAGUAGCGUGAAGGAUGACUGCCCUAUGGGUUGUAAACUUCUUUUAUAUGGGAAUAAAGUGCAGUAUGUAUACUGCUUUGCAUGUACCUUAUGAAUAAGGAUCGGCUAACUCCGUGCCAGCAGCCGCGGUAAUACGGAGGAUCCGAGCGUUAUCCGGAUUUAUUGGGUUUAAAGGGAGCGUAGGCGGGUUGUUAAGUCAGUUGUGAAAGUUUGCGGCUCAACCGUAAAAUUGCAGUUGAUACUGGCAUCCUUGAGUACAGUAGAGGUAGGCGGAAUUCGUGGUGUAGCGGUGAAAUGCUUAGAUAUCACGAAGAACUCCGAUUGCGAAGGCAGCCUGCUGGACUGUAACUGACGCUGAUGCUCGAAAGUGUGGGUAUCAAACAGGAUUAGA